rnacentral:tRNA from 1 species
AGGGGCGUCGCCAAGUGGUAAGGCAGCGGGUUUUGAUCCCGCCAUCCGUUGGUUCGACUACAUCCGCCACUUCCC